rnacentral:rRNA from 1 species
AACGGAGGCGCUCAAAGGUUCCCUCAGAAUGGUUGGAAAUCAUUCAUAGAGUGUAAAGGCAUAAGGGAGCUUGACUGCGAGACCUACAAGUCGAGCAGGGGCGAAAGACGGACUUAGUGAUCCGGUGGUUCCGCAUGGAAGGGCCAUCGCUCAACGGAUAAAAGCUACCCCGGGGAUAACAGGCUUAUCUCCCCCAAGAGUUCACAUCGACGGGGAGGUUUGGCACCU